GGACUCGCACAAGCGGUGGAUCAUGCGGCUUAAUUCGAUACUAAGCGAAGAACCUCAUCCAGGGUUAGAAACUAUAACGACGAUUUUGGGGAAACCAAUUUCUUCUUCGGACGCUAUAGCAGGUGAUGCAUGGCCGUCGUCAGUUCGUGCUUUGAAGUGUUCCCUUAAGUGGGUAACGAACGCAACCCCUAUUGCCAGUUACAAGUGUCUGGCGAGACUGCCUCGUUUUGAGGAGGAAGGUGGGGAUGACGCCAGGUCCGCAUGUCCCUAGAUACUCUGGGCUGCACGCAUGAUACAAUGGGUAGUACAACGGGUCGCGACGAGGUAACUCUGAGCC
rnacentral:rRNA from 1 species